rnacentral:rRNA from 1 species
AUGGGUGAGAAGACACAGACCAAAAUCCCCGUUAGUGUUCUUCGGUAUAUGCCAAUCGUACCAAGACUUCAACGUCUUUUCAUGGUCGAAGAGACGGCCAGACAGAUGACAUGGCACAAAACGGGCAAAAGAACCGAACUAGAUGCAGAUGGGAAUCUGAUGAUUGUACACACAUCGGAUGGUGUUGCGUGGAAAAAGUUUGAUGAAUUACAUGGUGCCAUCUACACGUCACUACAUGGCAGGCCUUUGCCGUCUGCCGCGGACGGCAAAGAGGACACGUGGCAUCCAGCUGUGCUUCCUGGGAGCUGA